ACGCUCGACACCUACGGGAGGUAGCAGUGGGGAAUAUUGCACAAUGGGCGAAAGCCUGAUGCAGCAACGCCGCGUGAAGGAGGAAGGCCUUCGGGUCGUAAACUUCUGUCCUUGAGGAAGAAGAACUGACGGUACUCAAGGAGGAAGCCCCGGCUAACUACGUACCAGCAGCCGCGGUAAUCUGAGCGGGCUGGCAAGGC
rnacentral:rRNA from 1 species